UAAGCGUACACGGUGGAUGCCCUGGCAGUCAGAGGCGAUGAAGGACGUGCUAAUCUGCGAUAAGCGCCGGUAAGGUGAUAUGAACCGUUAUAACCGGCGAUUUCCGAAUGGGGAAACCCAGUGUGACUCGUCACACUAUCAUUAACUGAAUCCAUAGGUUAAUGAGGCGAACCGGGGGAACUGAAACAUCUAAGUACCCCGAGGAAAAGAAAUCAACCGAGAUUCCCCCAGUAGCGGCGAGCGAACGGGGAGGAGCCCAGAGCCUGAAUCAGCAUGUGUGUUAGUGGAAGCGUCUGGAAAGGCGCGCGAUACAGGGUGACAGCCCCGUACACAAAAGCGCAUGUGCUGUGAGCUCGAUGAGUAGGGCGGGACACGUGGUAUCCUGUCUGAAUAUGGGGGGACCAUCCUCCAAGGCUAAAUACUCCUGACUGACCGAUAGUGAACCAGUACCGUGAGGGAAAGGCGAAAAGAACCCCGGCGAGGGGAGUGAAAAAGAACCUGAAACCGUGUACGUACAAGCAGUGGGAGC
rnacentral:rRNA from 1 species